GAUCAUUGAUGUGUUUGAAUGUUCUCAGAGGAAUUCUAUUCUCGGGUGAUUUGAAUAGAGAUAAAAAGAACACGAAGAGAAGGAUAAAGAAUAAAAAUCUCCAAUCUUCUUCGUUGAAUUUCUUGCGGUACACCAACGAGAAUUCUCAACCAGGUUGAUGUUGGACUCUCUCGAAACUAUAGCAUUCGAGGUUGAUUUUACAGAUUUUGUAGUGCAGAUGAAACAAUGUAAUACAGAAGUCAUGGGAGAUAGUGGUAGCUGCACUUCAAAGCCUCUCAUAUUCUUUGAAUUGAUGAAGUUCAGGGCUGUUACUCAGUUUUUGCCGGUGUAAUCUUUACCCUGGGUACUGCUGCUAAUAAUCCUCCCUUCUAUGUUUUUCUUGGACAUUAUAGAGUUGGCAGUAGUUACCAGGGGAAGUUGAACCAAUGGAAAAAUUGUGUUUGGGAUAGAUGUGAUGGUGACUACAAAAUUUUAGGUUUCGUUAAGGCAGACUUGGAAGGUGAGGCUCAAGGCACUAUGUGAUUCUGGAAACUCCGGUGUUGGAUGUGACUGCCGCUAUAUGUGAGUUUCAUGUAUUACAUUGCUUCUUGGUUACUCAUGUUAGCUGAAUAACAAGUCCCAGAGCCUCCUGCUGAAAUGUUUGUCUACCAGGUUUGCCACUUUAGAUCUAUGUAUGGUAUGUUCUUAUGGGAAUUAAUUAUUAAGGAAAUUCUUUUUUGUGUAAUUGAUGUUAAUCGAUUAAGGAGGGUUUGUUUUUGUUGGAUUGGUUUUGGUUUGGUUGCUGGCUAUUGGUAACAAGUUUUCCUUUGGCAAACAACUUUGGAUUCUUCGUGUAAGAUUAAUCU